UUAUCUUCAGGGCAGGGUGAAAUUCCUGACCGGCGGUCAAAGUCCGCAAGCCAGCAGGCUGAUUCGGUGAAACUCCGAAACCGACGGUAAAGUCCGGAUGAAAGAAGAUG
rnacentral:ncRNA from 1 species